UCUCCCACCGAUCCUGCCGCUCUUAUAAGUCCAGCCCGCGCCGCCGCGCGCCCCUCCCCUCCUCCCCCGAGCGGACUGAGAGGAAGGAAGGCGGGCGGGCUGGUGGAGAGAGCGGGAGAGUGAGACGAAGCUCCAUGGCGAAGAUUUACGUGCAGGCGGUGCCACCGGCGGAUCUGAACAAGAACACGGAGUGGUUCAUGUACCCGGGCGUAUGGACGACCUACAUCCGCAUCCUCUGCUUCUCCUGGCUCCUCGCCCUUUCCGUAUUCGGUUGCACCGCAGGCAUGCAUGGACCGUCGUCAACCUCUUCUACUUCGCGACUACAAUCUACAUACCACUUUUUCCAUUGGAAGAAGGGAACACCUUUUGCUGAUGACCAGGGAAUGUACAAUACAUUGAUUUGGUGGGAAUAAAUGGAUAGUGGUCAACAGCUUACUCAUAACAGGAAGUUUCCCAUGGUGGUUCCUGUAGUGCUAUAUUUCAUCGCUUUGCACACCACGAACUACCAACAUCCUAUGCUCUUUCUGAAUACUCUUGCAGUUACGGUGCUGGUGGUUGCCAAACUACCGAAUAUGCAUAAGGUCCGGAUUUUUGGAAUAAAUGCUGGAAACUAGGCAGGCAUUCUUUAGCAAUUACAUAUGCUCCUUCCAGAAUGGUGCCGAUGUAUUGACCUUUCCUACUUAAUAGGGCUGAUCAGAGUGCCAGUGACUGGUGUCAAUAGCUAUUAGCAGAUCGGCUGUAUUCAUUGCAUAAAGAGAUGCUCACCUGAUGUACACGAAUUAUAUAGACGCUUAAUGCUGAUAUAUGCUCUGAUACAAGGAUCUGCCAGUUUUGAUACGUGUGCUGUGAACAUUCCCUUGGCUUUUAUAAUUGGUAGGUAUCUCAGUGCUGACUGUGUGUCAGUAGUCUGUACGCAGACGUUGACGAACAGUGUGGCAAAAAUGUUACAAGGAGGUGUUGAUGCAGUGUCUACAUCAUUACUACCAACAGUUGUGCUGGAUGUAUAUGCACAUGCCAGAGAGAUCCGAAAUGUGUAACACGAGACUUUGAUCUGUUCGGUGAAAGAAUC